rnacentral:snoRNA from 1 species
AAGCAUAUGAUGAUUUACUCGGAUUCCCCUUCAAGACAUCUAUUGAGUGAUGCACAAACCGAGUCACUGAUGCA